rnacentral:rRNA from 1 species
GACAGAGGGGGCAAGCGUUGCUCGGAAUCACUGGGCGUAAAGGGCGCGUAGGCGGGAUGGCAAGUCGGUCGUGAAAUCCUUCGGCUCAACCGAAGAACGUCGGCCGAUACUGCCGUUCUUGAGGGAUGCAGAGGAGAUUGGAAUUCCCGGUGUAGCGGUGAAAUGUGUAGAGAUCGGGAGGAACACCGGUGGCGAAGGCGGGUCUCUGGGCAUCUCCUGACGCUGAGGCGCGAAAGCGUGGGGAGCAAACGGGAUUAGAUACCCCGGUAGUCCACGCUGUAAACGAUGACGACUAGGUGUGGGGGGGGUUAGUCCUUUCCGUGCCGCAGCUAACGCAUUAAGUCGUCCGCCUGGGGAGUACGGCCGCAAGGUUG